AUAACACGCGAGGUCGACGUUCAAUUUAUAGAACUUAAACGUCGAAAGAAUCAAAUACUUAAUAAUAAACUUGAUUUGCGUAUUUCUUUUUUUCUAGCUCGGCGAAUCGAAUUUUGAUGAGGAGAUUACGAAGAUAUUAAAAUGGAGGUUAAGUUUUGCGUUUCGAAAUUUCGUCUAUUGACAUCGAAGAUAAGUGUCGAGCUCAAAAAUUUCCAGUAAACAGGUACCAAGUGUCCUCGGAAUUUUCUACUUUACGCAUAGACGAUCACACGAGUUCGACAAUUUCUACGAAGUGACGUAAGGGGAGGACAAUGCGUAUGUUGUGCCUUUCUAACCACACCGGAGAAGAUGCAUUUAAAUGUCUAUAGCUACGUUAAGCAAAAAGAAAUAAGGGACAGGUAUUGAAGUUCAACGUGUCACAAACACGGAAGGGAGAAGAAAUAGGAAUAAUUAAAAUCGACGACGCAAAAUACAGGAAGCGUGUAUGAGAGAGAAAGAGAACAAUGGAACGUGUUCCAAGCUGAGACUUCUCUAUCGCGUUUACAAGCAUCGACUUUUGCGGUCUCUACAAUGAGAAAUAUCUUUUUGGAUUCGUUCCAACGAUUCUGUCGUUGACCUCAACAUACGGUCCACGUUCUUUAAUUCGUUUCUCCUUGUUCCUAUUCGGAUGUAAUAAUCGAUCAUCGAUCGUAAUGAAUUUAUUUCGAGUUCUCGAUGAAAGCUUACUUACUUAUAUUUUACUCGUUAACUUCUCGACGACAUUCGAUAGCUUCCAACGUUCCUCAGGACGUGACAGAGUAGAUAAAAUAUCGUCGUUGUUUCGGACGGCGUCCACAAAGAGAGCAACUCCAUGACAGUGUCUCUUUUUACCAUACUGUCGAUGGAUAGCUCUCUUCAUAGUUCGCGCCUUGUUUUCAUUUUCUCGAACACUUCGAUUCUUUGCCGAUGAUCGAUGCUGAAGCGCUAUAAAAGAAUACUUGAUCAUUUUAUCGACUUAUAAAAUAUAAUAAUGUGAUAUAGGAAGGAUAAAAAUCUUCGCCCUUGAGUUCUUUUGAAAUUAUAAUUUUCUUAAUGGUUUUAGUUCGAGGAGUAUCAAAGGAUUAGCCUCCGGGGUGUCGUGAACGCGACACAUGCGGACGCAUGCUAGGAGGAACGUCGAGUAGCACGGAAAGCGUGCCUCAAACUCGCUUCUCGAGCUCGUUAUCGGGGAGGUGCGAGCUACUUCUCCCUCUUUAGCGUUGCCACCUGAUUGCAUGGCAAACACGAGCUACUCGCGUUAGCUCGUGCCAUCGGUUGUUAACACUUUCUUUAAACCGAUACCGUAGGAUCCUGCUCGACUUUGUCUACUUAAGAAUUAAUUUCUACAGAACAUACAUGCCGUACGCGUAGCGAAAGAUCUUUCAGGAUGAAACGAUAAAAUAUCCUCGGCAUCGAACUGAUCUUAAUUACACGAGAAGUCUUUACUUGCAAAGUCUACCGCAAUUAUCGCACAUCGACUAAUGCCCGAACAAACUACGGAGAGAUAUAAAAAAGUUGCGACUCUUAAGGUUUACUUGAGAAAAAUGAAUUCGCACAAACGAACGUCUGAUGAAGGUAGAAGAACGAGUGACGUGGACGGCUCUCCGUGUCCGCUCAUAUACUCUACCUGCGCCGAUCUGACGUCACGGGUUUCGUCUCUUAUCAGUAGUCAGGAGCGCCAACACCUGUAUAGCCAAGCACCUGUUCGUCGAAACCUUCGAUGGUCGUGCGACCGCGCCUGCUCUGCAGAUCGUCCACCCUACUUUUCUAAUUCAUUAUCGUCUCGAAGAUGGAUCUUCGAAUCUUCGCCAACGACAACUUUUAACAUUUUCUUAAACGAAACAAAACGAAGGGUUGCUUUAAAUGGCGUGAAAGAAACAUGCAACUUGUUCGUUCUUUUACGACAGUAUCACGCGUGGUUUUAUACGAUGCGUAACGCCUUAUCUCGUGUCCUAGUUACAUCACUGCUACCCUGACUACGCUUGCUAUAUAUACACUAAUGAUACCUAUAAGGUAGAUCGAGAUCGAGUAAUGGAUCGCAUAAUGAUUUAAAGUCAGUUGCAUCGAAUGUGUCAAAAGGAUAGAUUUUUCUGUUUAUUUCGGUAUUGAGUGAUACGAACUGUACGAGGGAAAGUAUAUGUGCUCGAGAAAGAAGGAUCGAACGUCUAACAAAAUUAUAUAUACGGUUAACUUACCACAGCGAAAAACAAUUCAGAGAUAUCGACGUUAAAGAACGUAGAAAUGUAUUGACGAUUAUUUAAGUAAAACAAAAAAUUGCUUUUAAAAAUGGCUUUCUAUUAAAAUUUAAUGUCUUCUUUAAAGUUUCCUUGUAAUAAUGUAUAAUAUAUGAAUGAGCCGUCAAAAAAAAAUAUUGUUCAUUUUCUGUGCCUCAAUGACUUUGUAUCAUUUUAAAAAGAAGAGA